rnacentral:tRNA from 1 species
GCCAUCAUAGCUCAGUGGCAGAGCACUGGUCUUGUAAACCAGGUGUCCUGAGUUCGAUCCUCACUGGUGGCU